AAACAGCGUCAAGGCUAAGAAAGCGGUAUUUUCCACUUAUACAGUAUUUAACUUUAGGAGUGCAUAGUGGCCCGUAUAACAGGCAUUAAUAUUCCUGAC
rnacentral:sRNA from 1 species